rnacentral:rRNA from 1 species
UACAGAGGUCCCAAGCGUUACUGAGAAUCACUGGGUUUAAAGGGUGCGUAGGUGGUCCGUUAAGUCAGUUGUGAAAUCCCCGGGCUCAACCCGGGAAAUGCUUCUGAUACUGGCGGACUUGAGGCCAGUAGGGGUCACUAGAACUGACGGUGGAGCGGUGAAAUGCGUAGAUAUCUGGAGGAAUACCUAUGGCGAAAGCAGGCUACUGGACCGUCACUGACUCUGAUCUGCGAAAGCUAGGGGAGCAAACAGG